UGAACGCUGGCGGCGUGCCUCAUACAUGCACGUCGAGCGAACGGACGAGAAGCUUGCUUUUCUGAUGUUAGCGGCGGACGGGUGAGUAACACGUGGAUAACCUACCUAUAAGACUGGGAUAACUUCGGGAAACCGGAGCUAAUACCGGAUAAUAUUUUGAACCGCAUGGUUCAAAAGUGAAAGACGGUCUUGCUGUCACUUAUAGAUGGAUCCGCGCUGCAUUAGCUAGUUGGUAAGGUAACGGCUUACCAAGGCAACGAUGCAUAGCCGACCUGAGAGGGUGAUCGGCCACACUGGAACUGAGACACGGUCCAGACUCCUACGGGAGGCAGCAGUAGGGAAUCUUCCGCAAUGGGCGAAAGCCUGACGGAGCAACGCCGCGUGAGUGAUGAAGGUCUUCGGAUCGUAAAACUCUGUUAUUAGGGAAGAACAUAUGUGUAAGUAACUGUGCACAUCUUGACGGUACCUAAUCAGAAAGCCACGGCUAACUACGU
rnacentral:rRNA from 1 species